rnacentral:rRNA from 1 species
CAUGCAAGUCGAACGAAGCGCCUUAAAUUGAUUUCUUCGGAUUGAUUUUCUUGGCGAGGGAGUGGCGGACGGGUGAGUAACGCGUGGGUAACCUGCCUCAUACAGGGGGAUAACAGUUAGAAAUGACUGCUAAUACCGCAUAAGCGCACGAUACCGCAUGGUAUUGUGUGAAAAACUCCGGUGGUAUGAGAUGGACCCGCGUCUGAUUAGCUUGUUGGCGGGGUAACGGCCCACCAAGGCGACGAUCAGUAGCCGACCUGAGAGGGUGAUCGGCCACAUUGGGACUGAGACACGGCCCAAACUCCUACGGGAGGCAGCAGUGGGGAAUAUUGCACAAUGGGGGAAACCCUGAUGCAGCGACGCCGCGUGAAGGAUGACGUAUUUCGGUAUGUAAACUUCUAUCAGCAAGGAAGAUGAUGACGGUACUUGACUAAGAAGCCCCGGCUAACUACGUGCCAGCAGCCGCGGUAAUACGUAGGGGGCAAGCGUUAUCCGGAUUUACUGGGUGUAAAGGGAGCGUAGGCGGCCAUGCAAGUCAGAAGUGAAAGCCCGGGGCUCAACCCCGGGACUGCUUUUGAAACUGUAAGGCUAGAUUGCCGGAGAGGUAAGCGGAAUUCCUAGUGUAGCGGUGAAAUGCGUAGAUAUUAGGAGGAACACCAGUGGCGAAGGUGGCUUACUGGACGGUGAAUGACGCUGAGGCUCG